rnacentral:rRNA from 1 species
GUGGGGAAUAUUGGACAAUGGGCGAAAGCCUGAUCCAGCCAUGCCGCGUGUGUGAAGAAGGUCUUCGGAUUGUAAAGCACUUUAAGUUGGGAGGAAGGGCAGUAAGUUAAUACCUUGCUGUUUUGACGUUACCGACAGAAUAAGCACCGGCUAACUUCGUGCCAGCAGCCGCGGUAAUACGAAGGGUGCAAGCGUUAAUCGGAAUUACUGGGCGUAAAGCGCGCGUAGGUGGUUUUGUAAGUUGGAGGUGAAAUCCCCGGGCUCAACCUGGGAACUGCCUCCAAAACUGCAUGACUAGAGUACGGUAGAGAGUAGUGGAAUUUCCUGUGUAGCGGUGAAAUGCGUAGAUAUAGGAAGGAACACCAGUGGCGAAGGCGACUACCUGGACUGAUACUGACACUGAGGUGCGAAAGCGUGGGGAGCAAACAGGAUUAGAAACCCCUGUAGUCC